GUUGUUUCAGCAUCACAUACACUAAAAUUGGAAUAAUACAGAGAAGAUUAACAUGUCCCUGGAGCAAAGAAGACAUGCAAAUUCAAGAAGUGCUCCAUAUUUCU